CCUACGGGAGGCUGCAGUGGGGGAUAUUGCACAAUGGGGGAAACCCUGAUGCAGCGACGCCGCGUGGGUGAAGAAGCGCCUCGGCGCGUAAAGCCCUGUCAGCAGGGAAGAAAAAGACGGUACCUGAAGAAGAAGCCCCGGCUAACUACGUGCCAGCAGCCGCGGUAAUACGUAGGGGGCAAGCGUUAUCCGGAUUUACUGGGUGUAAAGGGGGCGCAGACGGCGAUGCAAGCCAGGAGUGAAAGCCCGGGGCCCAACCCCGGGAGUGCUCUUGGAACUGCGUGGCUAGAGUGCAGGAUGGGCAGGCGGAAUUACUGGUGUAGCGGUGAAAUGCGUAGAUAUCAGGAGGAACACCGGUGGCGAAGGCGGCCUGCUGGACUGCAACUGACGUUGAGGCCCGAAAGCGUGGGGAGCAAACAGGAUUAGAUACCCUAGUAGUC
rnacentral:rRNA from 1 species